GUUGCUUGGCGGUCAAUGCGCUUUCCUCCCCCUCCCCCCGGCUCUUCUCAGAAUAGGAGCAGAAGUUCGAACCAAGUUUGUGAAGAGGGUUAUCCAAUGAGGGCUCGCGCCAGCAGAAGAGUAGACCUGAGGAAACCAAGCGGCUAAAAACCCCGAGCAGAGAGAAAGGGGGGAAAAAAAAACCCGCAGAGGCGACGCGGCCGCUGAUUGGACCGUUUGAAUGAGACGCCGCCACGACUUGGCGUGCGCGCGCGCUCCUGCAUGGAGAAAGACGCGCACGCAACUAACGAACAGGGUUCAGGAAUGGAAUCAUGCCAGGAGAAUUCUGAGUGCUUGUGAGAACACUCCAAGAAAAGAUAAGAGUCUUGUGACUUCUAUUUCAUCAAAACAUGGAAUUGUUUUUGGAAUGUGUUUUUGUAGUCCUGUGUUUCUCCCAGAUGUAGCAGCUUGGAGUGAAUUUGCUUCAGAUUACCCCUAUUGGUUGCUGAUGUUACUCAAAUGUUUAAACUGUCUUUUAUAUGCCUCUAUGGAGAACAGGUUUAAACUGUCUUUUAUAUGGCUCUGUGGAAAACAGGUUUUUGUUUUGCAUGACUUGUUCUUGUGAUUGUACACAGCCUGAACUCAUGAAACCUUUACUCCUGUAACCUUUCUUAACCUUCAGAGUAUAUAAAUCACCAUUUCUCAACAUGUGGGUCUUGAUUCCUUUGAGUCGGGGGUUGAACAACCCUUUUACGGGGGCUGCCUAAGACCACUGGAAAACACAGAUACCUACAUUAUGACAUAUCAUAACGGUAACAAAACUACAGUACGAAGUAGCAAUGAAAAUAUUUUGUGAUUGGAGGUCACCACAACCUAAGGAACUGUGUUAAAGGGUUUCAGCACUAGGAAGGUUGAGAACCACUGGUAUAAAUUGUCUGAGGCAAUGAAUAAAGGUGGCUAUUGCCUGAAA